GCAAACUUGGUCAUUUAGAGGAAGUAAAAGUCGUAACAAGGUCUCCGUAGGUGAACCUGCGGAGGGAUCAUUAUAGGAAAUAUAAAAACAUACAAGUUGUGGGGAGGGGGAGAGGGGGGGAAUGUAUACUCUGCAUCUCUCUCUCUUUUUCUCUCUGCUUCUUCAAACAAACUAUCGCAACAAUCAUAUGUGAAUGUGAAUUGGUGGGGGAUGUGAUAUAUAUAUAAAUGCUUGCCUGAUACACCGAUGGAUUUGAGGGGAAAGAAAAAACAAAACUUUCAACAACGGAUCUCUUGGCUCUCACAUCGAUGAAGAACGCAGC
rnacentral:misc_RNA from 1 species